UACGAAGGGUGCAAGCGUUACUCGGAAUUACUGGGCGUAAAGCGUGCGUAGGUGGUUCGUUAAGUCUGAUGUGAAAGCCCUGGGCUCAACCUGGGAAUGGCAUUGGAAACUGGCGACCUAGAGUGCGGUAGAGGGUAGUGGAAUUCCCGGUGUAGCAGUGAAAUGCGUAGAGAUCGGGAGGAACAUCCGUGGCGAAGGCGACUACCUGGGCCAGCACUGACACUGAGGCACGAAAGCGUGGGGAGCAAACAGG
rnacentral:rRNA from 1 species